rnacentral:rRNA from 1 species
UACAGAGGGGGCAAGCGUUUAUUCGGAAUUAUUGGGCGUAAAGGGCGCGUAGGCGGCCUGGCAAGUGGAUGGUGAAAUCCCUCGGCUUAACCGAGGAACUGCCAUCCAGACUGCUUGGCUUGAGACCGGGAGAGGUGAGUGGAAUUCCCAGUGUAGCGGUGAAAUGCGUAGAUAUUGGGAGGAACACCAGUGGCGAAGGCGGCUCACUGGACCGGUACUGACGCUGAUGCGCGAAAGCGUGGGGAGCAAACGGG